UGCCUAAGGCUGCCCAGAGAGCUCAGGUUUAAACCAAGCACCUCUGGAUUAUGCUCUUAACCAUGUCAUACAAAUAGGGUGGGGAAGCUCAGGCCCAAGGAGCAGCUGCAUCCCUCUAGGCCUCUCUAGGCCUCUCUAGGCCCUUGGAAUUCUCCUCAGGCCACACCCUUCAUAGGCCCUGCUUUGCCCCCAAGUGUCUGGCUAGAGUGUGUCGUGGGCCAAGCUCUUUCUUGUUGGAUGGAGGACAGAGGAGGACGUUUGAAUGUGUGCAGAGGCUAGACUAUUCUACAAUGAGGACAUUUACAUUCAUCCCUCCAUCCACUUUUACCUCUGGCCUUGCCCAUCACUGGCAUGCGGCCCUCCAAAGGUGCCCAGUUUUCCACCUGCCUAUACAGGUAAGCUAACACAAUGGCUAUAAAUUGGACAGCGGUAUAGCAGGAGUAGCAGCAGCCCUUACUAACCCUUGCUACACAAGAAAGGCUUGUGGCUUUUGUAACUUAAAACAGACCAACCUCAAUACAGAAUGUUUCCUUUUAGCCAAAACAUCUGCCCCACAAAGAUGCUUUUCUCAGGUCCAGAGCACUUUUGAAAGUGGCAAGUCUACAUUUAAAAUAACAGUUUUUUCUCUUAUGGUUGCAGAAAAGAUUAUGACAAAAGUGAAUGUGCCACAGUCACAUUCUCAAAUGUACCCACUGUGGUCAUAUGCCACCACAUCUAUAGCCAUAGUGGUGUCUAGCCUUUAGCAAGGACCUCCCAGCUAUGAGGUUGAGAGAAUUACCCAUACAAAGCUGCCAGAGGAAAAUGCUAGUAUUUAUUAUUUAUGGAGUACCUACAUCUAAGUUCAGUACAAAAAUGAUAAAGGAGGCCCUGCCCACAAUCUACUUAUCCUCUAGCUAGGCAGCUAUAUGCAUAUUUUGGGGGCAGCGAGUGGAGGAGGAAGACAAGGAGGGAGAUGGACGAGAUUUCACACACUGAUUCAAACUACCAGGCAGAUAUUUUCUUGGAAGCCUCUAUAAUGAUACAAUAUGGUUGCCAAAAUGUUAAGAGAAGAAUGUGUGCCUGAAUGCACAGACAGCAACAUUUACUAUUCUUUUCAUACAAUGGUGCAAUCAGGGCUGGACUUUUGGGCAGAGAUCCAGGGUCUCACUGAGGAGAAUGAGCAGAAAGGCC